rnacentral:tRNA from 1 species
AAGGUUUUAAGUUAAAUAAACUAGUAACCUUCAAAGUUAAAAAUAAUUUUUUUUUAAACCUUA